UCACAUGGUCAAUGCUCAAUCUGCUCUCUGCUCAAUCACAUGGUCACCCACUGAAGAUAAGGAGGGCUGUGCCAGGUUCGUACCUGGAUGAGAGACCACUUGGGAAAGCUAGGUUGCUGCCGGAU
rnacentral:rRNA from 1 species